UUAAAACAGAUUAAUAAGAAUAAAAAAUUCAUUACUCUCUGUCAAGAUUAUUUACACAUAAAAACACAUAUAAAUAUGUUUAUGUUUUAUUGUUCUAGCACUUCUGGAAAUAAAUAUAUUUUGUAGAUAUUUGACAUUCCAGUUAAUUAAUUUAUAACCAUUAGUAAAGCUUAGAAGAACUGGUAAGGAUAAUCGGCGUGAGAAGACAAGACAGGAACUUGACGAAGGCAAACACCACACUGCCAGGAAUAGAUAGACCGACGGAUCAGAAUCGUCGUACGUCGACGAGAAGACCUCGUGGUAGUGUAAUGUGCAUUUGCUAACGCACAAACACGUGGAUCUCAUUUCAGAUUGAGUUUAACUACUCGAUUAAGCAUGACACCCCAUAUGGAAGAUGCAUGCGUGAGGAUAUAAUUAAAUAUCUGAUACAAAUUGCAUGUACUAUACAAAUAUUCAGCAUAUCAACAUAUAGACUAGAGUGUAGUGCAAAGUGUAACAUAAUGUGCAAAUAAAUUUGCUUAUUCUUAGUUGAUUUCAUGACUUACAGCUUUUUUCUCUUCCUCUUCACUUUUAGUAAAAAUGUGUUAAAGAAAGGCAUGAUUUUGUAUGGUAACACAAAACACAAGGGAGCGUCUAACUUCAACUACCCUUCGUGCCGGACUAAAUGUGAGAAAGAGACCUUUGGAAAAAUCAAUACCGUUACAAUCAUGUGGCAGGACAUGCCAUAUACAGAAAAUAUGAAGUUUCGAUCUAACAAGCAGAAGCAUGAAUCAUGAAUAUCUAUCAUGAAUGCAAAAAGUUAAUUAUACUAUGCUGUGAUUACGAAGA